CCUAAAUGACACCCUGUUCCCUAUAAAGUGCACUACUUUUGAACUGGUCAUUUAGGGUGCCAUUUGGGAUUUAGCUAGAAGGAUAUUAUAAUGUGUGUUACAUUCAUUUAAAUAAAGCAGGUUUAAAGCCAGCCAGGUCUCUCCCUAGACUAGUUACUGGUUACAGACAACAGGUCUCUCCCUAGACUAGUUACUGGUUACAGACAACAGGUCUCUCCCUAGACUAGUUACUGGUUACAGACAACAGGUCUCUCCCUAGACUAGUUACUGGUUACAGACAACAGGUCUCUCCCUAGACUAGUUACUGGUUACAGACAACAGGUCUCUCCCUAGACUAGUUACUGGUUACAGACAACAGGUCUCUCCCUAGACUAGUUACUGGUUACAGACAACAGGUCUCUCCCUAGACUAGUUACUGGUUACAGACAACAGGUCUCUCCCUAGACUAGUUACUGGUUACAGACAACAGGUCUCUCCCUAGACUAGUUACUGGUUACAGACAACAGGUCUCUCCCUAGACUAGUUACUGGUUACAGACAACAGGUCUCUCCCUAGACUAGUUACUGGUUACAGACAACAGGUCUCUCCCUAGACUAGUUACUGGUUACAGACAACAGGUCUCUCCCUAGACUAGUUACUGGUUACAGACAACAGGUCUCUCCCUAGACUAGUUACUGGUUACAGACAACAGGUCUCUCCCUAGACUAGUUACUGGUUACAGACAACAGGUCUCUCCCUAGACUAGUUAUAGGUUACAGCCAGGUCUCUCCCUAGACUAGUUAUAGGUUACA